UGCGUAAAAAAACAUCAAGCACACGACUAAACAAUUCAAACCGUGCGUGUUCGUCAAUGAAAAAGCCAUACUUAGCGAUUCGACGAUACAACGGUUAUAAAACGCGUACAUAUUAUGUAUUAUUAAAUUACAUUCGUAUUGGCUUAAGCGGGCAGAGAACAAAAGUAAACACGGAUUAUUGCCUAAAUGUAUCGAAGGCGCUCGAGAUAGAUAAAUGUUCGAAAACGCAGAAAAACACAAUAUUGUAAUGUAGGUACAUCAAACAAAGAAUUAAAAACGAAAAGCUUUUAAUCCUGAUUAUCGUCUCAUUUCAACUGUUUUAUGGUUUGGUUGGCCGCGGUUUCAAGAAGCUAUUGUUGUACCUAUAUAAAAUUAACCUACACGAUUCUCGCCGUAUAUACUAUAUACGUUAACAUGAGAUACACGAUAUUGGUAGUUUGUACGUGCUACAGCUGAUGUAGAAUGUCAGAUAUUAUCGUAUAGUCAAGGUUAUAAAUUAAUGCACUAAAAAACAGGUAGAAUAUCGGCUAAUACACUGAGUGUGAGAAAUGGUGAACGGGGCCAACUUCUGACUUUAGAUUUUCCGGCACGCGUCAUGUUAUAUAAUAAUUACCGGUGCGUGCUUGGCGGGAGUGUGCGACCACGAAUAGAAAACGACAGUGGAGAAGACUCCGUGACGAUGGCCAUCAGUGAAUAUACACACCCACGGCACGUUGA